rnacentral:lncRNA from 1 species
UACAGCUCCCUUAAAGAAACUGGGUUAUUUGUUAUUUACUCAAGGGAAGUAACCCUGAAUGAAUAAAUUAGGAACAGGUGGAGGUAGAUAGGGAUUCCAGAAUUCCUUUCAAAGCUAGUUCUUUUAGGGGAUCCCGGGGAGCAAAAGUAGGAACCCUAUGAGCUACAGUGAAAAAUCUACAAACAUUUAGUUAUCCUGAAGUGGAAUAGGCUGCUUUAGUUGGCAGCGAGCUCUUCUACACCAUGGUUCUUCAAACAAAAUUGGAUGAUUCCUUGUCAGGGUCAUUGGAGUCCAGAGGCAAGACAAAAAUCAAGAUGCCUGGAGAUGACCCAGGAUGCAGGGGAUGACCUUGGCUUCUUCAGUGUCUGACUAGACUCUAAGCACUCCACAGAACUUGCUUCAUCCACCCUCAAAACUUUUGGAACAAAUUGUUCUCAUCUGUCCAUUCCAGCAGGGAAAGUCUUCAUAUAUUUGGAGUAAAGACAUCCCACUUGCUCACAAAUAUGUUUGAGGCCCAUUAUUAACCUCAACCUGGUUUAGCCCAUUUGCUGAGACCCAUAAGCAAAAACCUAUUCCCACUAAAGUUUACUCAGGAAUUGGACAUCUGGCCAUUGUUUGUAAACUUCUAAUGAGAGAGAAUCCACUGUUUCCUGAGGUAGCCCAUUUUACUUUUUGAUAGCUUUAAUUUUUAGGAUGUUUUGCCUGACACCAAGCUGAAAUUUAUUUCUUGAUAAUUCCUCCUCCCUUGCACCUGGUUCUAUCCUUUGGUACUGAGUGGAAUCAGGACCUCUCUUCCUCAUAGGACUAUAUUCAAAGCCUUUUACCAUCCUGGUUGCCAUCUCCUAAAUGUUCUCUCACUAAUAAUCUGAAGCCCUUUGUAAAAAAAAAGCCCCUUAAAUAUUAGUGCAUUGAUUAUCAAAUCAUUUCUAAUAACCUAGUGCACAAGAUUAAUUUCAGUUCUUCCAAAGGCUACCAUGAAAUUGUCCAAACAAAGUUUUAAUUUAUUUUAAUUUAAAAAAAUUAUGUCCUAGGGUAUUUUUCAGAAAGUGGGAGUGGUGUUACCAAAAAAACAAACUACAAGAAAGUACUAGCUAAAAUAUAUUUGGAGUUCUGGCAGCAAAUAUGUUGAAUUUGUUGUUUCUUUAGUAGAGAUACUUGGUCACCUGCAGUUCUCCUUUGGGUUUAAAAACUUGCAUAAUAUCUGUUAUCUAAACAUACUAUAAUACUUGUUUUAAAUUAUCAUUAUAACCCCAAAAAAGAAUAAAUGCCAACCUCAGAUACA